rnacentral:rRNA from 1 species
CCUACGGGAGGCAGCAGUGGGGAAUAUUGGACAAUGGGGGGAACCCUGAUCCAGCCAUGCCGCGUGUGUGAGGAAGGCCCUCGGGUUGUAAAGCACUUUCAGUGAGGAAGAACGCCUGGUGGUUAAUACCCAUCAGGAAAGACAUCACUCACAGAAGAAGCACCGGCUAACUCCGUGCCAGCAGCCGCGGUAAUACGGAGGGUGCGAGCGUUAAUCGGAAUUACUGGGCGUAAAGCGCGCGUAGGUGGCUUGAUAAGCCGGUUGUGAAAGCCCCGGGCUCAACCUGGGAACGGCAUCCGGAACUGUCAAGCUAGAGUGCAGGAGAGGAAGGUAGAAUUCCCGGUGUAGCGGUGAAAUGCGUAGAGAUCGGGAGGAAUACCAGUGGCGAAGGCGGCCUUCUGGACUGACACUGACACUGAGGUGCGAAAGCAUGGGUAGCAAACAGGAUUAGAUACCCGGGUAGUC